AUUGAACGCUGGCGGCAGGCCUAACACAUGCAAGUCGAGCGGAUGAAGGGAGCUUGCUCCUGGAUUCAGCGGCGGACGGGUGAGUAAUGCCUAGGAAUCUGCCUGGUAGUGGGGGAUAACGUCCGGAAACGGGCGCUAAUACCGCAUACGUCCUGAGGGAGAAAGUGGGGGAUCUUCGGACCUCACGCUACCAGAUGAGCCUAGGUCGGAUUAGCUAGUUGGUGGGGUAAAGGCCUACCAAGGCGACGAUCCGUAACUGGUCUGAGAGGAUGAUCAGUCACACUGGAACUGAGACACGGUCCAGACUCCUACGGGAGGCAGCAGUGGGGAAUAUUGGACAAUGGGCGAAAGCCUGAUCCAGCCAUGCCGCGUGUGUGAAGAAGGUCUUCGGAUUGUAAAGCACUUUAAGUUGGGAGGAAGGGCAGUAAGUUAAUACCUUGCUGUUUUGACGUUACCAACACAAUAAGCACCGGCUAACUUCGUG
rnacentral:rRNA from 1 species